rnacentral:rRNA from 1 species
GUGGCGGACGGGUGAGUAACGCGUGGGCAACCUGCCCUCCAGCCCGGGAUAACUUCCGGAAACGGGAGCUAAUCCCGGAUGCGGAGCAAAGGACGCAUGUUUUUUGCUCGAAAGCUUCGGCGCUGGAGGAUGGGCCCGCGUCCCAUUAGCUAGUUGGUGAGGUAACGGCUCACCAAGGCGACGAUGGGUAGCCGGCCUGAGAGGGUGAACGGCCACACUGGGACUGAGACACGGCCCAGACUCCUACGGGAGGCAGCAGUAGGGAAUCUUGCGCAAUGGGCGAAAGCCUGACGCAGCGACGCCGCGUGAGGGAAGAAGGCCUUCGGGUCGUAAACCUCUGUCCUUGGGGACGAUGAUGACGGUACCCAAGGAGGAAGCCCCGGCUAACUACGUGCCAGCAGCCGCGGUAAUACGUAGGGGGCGAGCGUUGUCCGGAAUCACUGGGCGUAAAGGGUGCGUAGGCGGCUUGGCAAGUCCUGUGUGAAAGGUCGCG